rnacentral:rRNA from 1 species
AACGAACGCUGGCGGCAUGCCUAACACAUGCAAGUCGAACGAGACCUUCUGGUCUCGUGGCGCACGGGUGCGUAACGCGUGGGAACCUGCCCUUCGGUUCGGAAUAACUCCCCGAAAGGGGUGCUAAUACCGGAUAAUGUCUUCGGACCAAAGAUUUAUCGCCUUUGGAUGGGCCCGCGUUGGAUUAGCUAGUUGGUAGGGUAAAAGCCUACCAAGGCGACGAUCCAUAGCUGGUCUGAGAGGAUGAUCAGCCACACUGGGACUGAGACACGGCCCAGACUACUACGGGAGGCAGCAGUGGGGAAUAUUGGACAAUGGGCGAAAGCCUGAUCCAGCAAUGCCGCGUGAGUGAUGAAGGCCUUAGGGUUGGAAAGCUCUUUUACCCGGGAUGAUAAUGACAGUACCGUGAGAAUAAGCUCCGGCUAACUCCGUG